UACGUAGGGGGCAAGCGUUGUCCGGAUUUACUGGGCGUAAAGAGCGUGUAGGCGGCCAUGCAGGUCUGUUGUGAAAACUGGAGGCUUAACCUCCAGACGUCGACGGAAACCGCGUGGCUAGAGUCCGGAAGAGGAGAGUGGAAUUCCUGGUGUAGCGGUGAAAUGCGCAGAUAUCAGGAAGAACACCAAUGGCGAAGGCAGCUCUCUGGGACGGUACUGACGCUGAGACGCGAAAGCGUGGGGAGCGAACAGG
rnacentral:rRNA from 1 species